rnacentral:rRNA from 1 species
CAGUAGUCACGAGUUUGAUCAUGGCUCAGAACGAACGCUGGCGGCAUGCCUAACACAUGCAAGUCGAACGAGACCUUCGGGUCUAGUGGCGCACGGGUGCGUAACGCGUGGGAAUCUGCCCUUAGGUACGGAAUAACUCAGAGAAAUUUGUGCUAAUACCGUAUGAUGUCGAAAGACCAAAGAUUUAUCGCCUAAGGAUGAGCCCGCGUAAGAUUAGCUUGUUGGUGAGGUAAAAGCUCACCAAGGCGACGAUCUUUAGCUGGUCUGAGAGGAUGAUCAGCCACACUGGGACUGAGACACGGCCCAGACUCCUACGGGAGGCAGCAGUGGGGAAUAUUGGACAAUGGGCGAAAGCCUGAUCCAGCAAUGCCGCGUGAGUGAUGAAGGCCUUAGGGUUGUAAAGCUCUUUUACCAGGGAUGAUAAUGACAGUACCUGGAGAAUAAGCUCCGGCUAACUCCGUG